CCUCCCCACCUGCGCCCGCCGCCCGCGACUCCGCCCUGCGCCACCGAGGCCUGAGUAACACCGGGCGGGGCGGGGGCGGGGUCCCCGAGACCCAAGCGCCCUGGGCGAAGCCACCGCGGGGAGGACCUGCGCUCGCGGGGGCUGCUGCGCUCUGCGCUGGGGCCUCUCGGGCUGGGAAUGCGUGGCCCGGCUUUUGAGGAUUUCCUCGGUCCCCGGGCGGAAAUAGCUGGAAUGGAGGGGCCUCUCGAUUGGAGACUUACUGGUCAAAUAUUUACUUUUGUUGAUCACUGGAAACGCUACCUACCACGCAUUGACUAGGACCACAAAAACCACGACUUCCUGGAAAAGUCUUCACCGUAAAUAUUAAUCUCUUUGGCAUGAAGAGGAAAACACUGCAGCUAAUUUUUCAUGGGAUAACAAAAAUAUAAACUGCAAUUUCUUUUAUUUUUUCCCUUUCGAUGGUCUUUUUAAACGAGGAGUAAAGAUUUCAACGCCAGGUCCAUUUUCCAAAUUUUGUACCAGAACCUUGAGGAUGCUUGUCUCUCGCGCGCUUCUCCGCAGACCGAACCCUCUCCGGAACUCAGAGCUGUUCACCCAAGUCAGCGGAGGAGGCCUCCUGGGACUUGAGCCUGAGGGUGGCGAAGAACCCUAGGCAGAGAUCAUCAACUUGGUACCGAUGAGUGACGCGGAGCUUGAACAUUCCAGCGACUUGCUCCAGGGCCACUCCCAGUUAAGAGGCUGAGUGUUAACUGCAAGAGGCUGAGUGUUAACUACGCCGUUGGCUCCAGGAACCGAACCGGGUUUGGAUACAGACCCAGUCACACCAUCCAUGAAAAGCUGUUUCUAUAAUAUGAAAAAUUGUUAAAUGACGCUUUAGUAAAAGCCAUUUAAAGAUCUUUUCUAAUAAAUUUUUCAUCUUUCCAAACAAUGCCGCUAAUUACCUUCUGAUACAGUGC
rnacentral:lncRNA from 1 species